GACAGAGGGUGCAAACGUUGUUCGGAAUUACUGGGCGUAAAGCGCGUGUAGGCGGCCCUGCAAGUCGGGUGUGAAAUCCCACGGCUCAACCGUGGAAGUGCACUCGAAACUGCAGGGCUAGAGUCCUGGAGAGGAAGGUGGAAUGCUUGGUGUAGAGGUGAAAUUCGUAGAUAUCAAGCGGAACACCGGUGGCGAAGGCGGCCUUCUGGACAGUGACUGACGCUGAGACACGAAAGCGUGGGGAGCAAACAGG
rnacentral:rRNA from 1 species